CAACACAAGCCCACAACCCGACUCACUUCCGCUUCUCCCACUUCAGGCCGCGGGCGUCUUCUCUCCCCGCGCCAGCGAACCGAUGGCGGCGGCUCCGAAGGCGGAGGCCAUGGACGUCGAGGCACCGGCUAGGCCGCCGUCCACCGCCUCGGAUACCAAGUACCGCUCCCCGCACGACCUCCUGGCCGAGACCCGCGCUUCCAUCGAGAAGGUCGCUGCCCGGAUGCUCGCCAUCAAGAGGGACGGCGUCCCCAAGUCGGAGCUCCGCGAGCUCGUCACCCAGAUGUCGCUCCUCCUCGUGACUCUCCGCCAAGUGAACAGGGAGAUACUGAUGGAGGAGGACAGGGUGAAGGCGGAGACGGAGGCCGCGAAGGCGCCGGUGGACUCCACGACGCUACAGCUGCACAACCUGCUGUACGAGAAGAACCACUACGUGAAGGCCAUAAGGGCGUGCCUGGACUUCCAGACGAAGUACCCGGGGAUAGAGCUCGUGCCGGAGGAGGAGUUCCAGCGUGCGGCGCCGGCGGACAUCCGCGACAAGACCCUCGCUGCUGACGCGUCCCACGACCUCAUGCUCAAGCGCCUCAACUUUGAGCUCGUCCAGCGGAAAGAGUUGUGCAAGCUACAUGAGAAAUUGGAACUCCAGAGGAGCAGUUUGCUGGAGACAAUUGCUAGUCAGAAAAAGUUUCUUUCAAGCCUUCCAUCACAUUUGAAAUCACUGAAGAAAGCAUCGUUGCCAGUGCAGCAGCAGCUGGGCAUGCAACAUACCAAGAAACUAAAACAACACCAUGCUGCCGAGUUGCUUCCAACCCCACUUUACAUAGCAUACACUCAGUUGUUAGGGCAGAAAGAAGCAUUUGGAGAGAAUAUUGAAGUAGAGAUCAUGGGAAGCACAAAGGAUGCCCAAAUAUUUGCUCAACAGCAAGCCAAGAAGGAAAAUGGCACCUUAUCAAAUGGUGACCACAACAGAAUGGACGAUGAUGUAAUUGAUGAUGAUGAAGAUGCUCAGAGAAGAAGAUCAAGAUCCAAAAAGAAUGUCAUGAAGGAAGCUAAUAGUCCUGCAGUGGCAUAUCAACUUCAUCCACUUAAACUUAUUGUCCAUGUAUACGAUACUGAAGAUUCUGGUGCUAAACGUCGUAAACUCAUCACCCUGAGGUUUGAAUACUUGGCAAAGUUGAAUGUUGUUUGUGUCGGAAUUGAAGAAUCUGAGGGCCUGGACAAUAAUAUCUUGUGCAACUUAUUUCCAGAUGACACUGGUUUAGAGCUGCCUCACCAGAUGGCCAAGAUUUAUGCUGGGGAGCCUCCAAACUUUACGGAUAAGAAUUCAAGACCAUACAAGUGGGCACAGCAUCUGGCUGGUAUCGAUUUUUUGCCAGAAGUCCCUCCAUCUGUUGGGGAUGAUUCAAACAGAGCAUUGAGCAGCUCUGAUUUGUCAUCUGGGCUUGCUCUAUACCGUCAGCAGAACCGCGCGCAGACUAUUUUGCAGAGAAUCCGCUCGCGGAAAGUUGCACAGAUGGCUCUUAUGUGAGUCUACAGUAUUUUCCGCUUGGGACAUCAGUGAGAAAAUGUGGAUGGUAGUUCAAUAUAGAAUGUGGCAACUUGAUUAUUUGACAAAGCUGAAGUGGCCUCGAAUAGAACAUAAGAAUACACCGUGGGCAUCACGCACCCCAUUGUGUAGUUUGCAUAGUUGGUCAUUGACAGUUUCUUUUCCUGAGCCAUUGUCUCGUUCUAGUUUGAUGGUAAGUGGGGCUGCAGGCAGUGUUGACAGUGAUCUAGAGAGAAGAUCUGUGACAAACUGGGAAGAAACUGAAAGUGUUAGAGAGGAUGGGGAGCUCCCAGUUGUCAUUCAUGCUGAGAACGAGACAAACAGUUCUGCAAUUUUGCCCUCUGAGAUGUCACCUGAGGUUCGGAGCCAUUCUAGAGGCUUAUCCCUGAUAUCAAAGAGUGCAACACCAUCUAAGCUAAGCGUCUCACACAGUUUUGGUAGAAAUGAGGAUGAUCUAGAUCUCUUGAUGUAUAGUGACAGUGAGUUGGAGGACCAGCCCUUCAUUCAGGAAGAAACUCAAAAAGGUAACCUAAUUAUAUACAAAUCCUGGGAGGAUUAUGCUUCCAAGGAGUUUACCAUGGUCUUGAGUAAAACUAUGAAGAAUGGUCCAAAAGUUAUGCUGGAAGCCAAGGUUAAGAUAAGCAUGGAAUAUCCUCUCAGGCCUCCCCUUUUCAUAUUAUGUUUGCUCUCAGAAAAGUCGGAAACUUUGAAGUGGCACAAUGACCUCCGUGCGAUGGAAACUGAGGUAAAUCUUCACAUCCUUAGAAGCCUGCCUUCAUCGUGUGAGGAUUAUAUAUUGACUCACCAAGUUAUGUGCCUGGCUAUGCUGUUUGACAUGCAUUUUGAUGAGGAUUACGAGAAAAGAAAAGUUACUUCAGUGAUUGAUGUUGGCCUCAGCAAACCUGUUAGUGGAACCAUGCUUACAAGAUCAGUUAGGGGAAGAGACCGUCGGCAGACUAUAUAUUGGAGAGGCGCUGAUUGCUCUUCAAGUUAUUUGUAGAGUAUGAGUAAUCAAUAUUUCUCUCAAUUGAGUUGACUUGAGCAUUGAUUGUCAUUUGGAGGAAACAGAGUUGGUGAUACUGCCCUUUCUGUCCUUUUUCUGGUACUGACAGAACUGAGCUUACACAGAUACCUGGUUAUGCUUGCUUUCUUGACAACAAUAGCCGAUAAGUUUGCCCGCUGGCCAUGUUGACUGUCCUUCGCUAUGUUUCUGGUUAUUUUACAAUGAUCUGCAGCCUGUAGGGAGCCUAUAUUUUAUGAGUUACCACAAGGAUGACUGCAUGUAUUUUGUAUUAUUGAGCUUAUCGAAAUGUUUGAGGCCUUAUCAUAUAUUUUGUAGUCUUGUCGAUACCGGCAACCGUUCAGAGUCUAUGAAACUCAUCCUCAACUCUGAACUAUAUCCUGAAUUUUACCCUGAACAUUUAUAGCUA